GAAGUGAUGGCUUCAUAAUGGUGCUUCACUGGAUGUCAAGACUGCCUCUUCUGUGUAUUAUUGAUAUAUGUUUCCAUAUAUGCAGUGCCUCUGACGCCUAGCAGACCUUCUGUGGUUACUCUGACCAGACUGUUAACCUUACAAGUAAUAAUUGGUAGGACGUAAAUAUUGAAAAUGAAAUUGCAUGGAAGGCCACAGCUCUGCAAUUUUCUCUUGUCAGAACACGUCUUCUUGGAGAACCCUUCAAAGCUCUCUGCAUAAUGUCAAAUGGAAGUGAUGGAAAAAAAAUUUACUCUUAAAAAAGACAUAGAUUUUCUCUGGAAGACAAAAAACAUUGAUCUCUAGUGUCUGGAUGCAGUACAAAAAAUAAAGGGCUAAAAAAGAA